rnacentral:rRNA from 1 species
ACGAACGCUGGCGGCGUGCUUAACACAUGCAAGUCGAACGAGAAUCUGAUGAAGGAGUUUUCGGACAACUGAUUCAGAGGAAAGUGGCGGACGGGUGAGUAACGCGUGAGGAACCUGCCUUGAAGAGGGGGACAACAGUUGGAAACGACUGCUAAUACCGCAUGAUGCAUAGGGGUCGCAUGAUCUUUAUGCCAAAGAUUUAUCGCUUCAAGAUGGCCUCGCGUCUGAUUAGCUAGUUGGCGGGGUAACGGCCCACCAAGGCGACGAUCAGUAGCCGGACUGAGAGGUUGAACGGCCACAUUGGGACUGAGAUACGGCCCAGACUCCUACGGGAGGCAGCAGUGGGGAAUAUUGGGCAAUGGGCGCAAGCCUGACCCAGCAACGCCGCGUGAAGGAAGAAGGCUUUCGGGUUGUAAACUUCUUUUAAGAGGGAAGAGCAGAAGACGGUACCUCUAGAAUAAGCCACGGCUAACUACGUGCCAGCAGCCGCGGUAAUACGUAGGUGGCAAGCGUUGUCCGGAUUUACUGGGUGUAAAGGGCGUGCAGCCGGGUCUGCAAGUCAGAUGUGAAAUCCAUGGGCUCAACCCAUGAACUGCAUUUGAAACUGUAGAUCUUGAGUGUCGGAGGGGCAAUCGGAAUUCCUAGUGUAGCGGUGAAAUGCGUAGAUAUUAGGAGGAACACCAGUGGCGAAGGCGGAUUGCUGGACGAUAACUGACGGUGAGGCGCGAAAGUGUGGGGAGCAAACAGGAUUAGAUACCCUGGUAGUCCACACUGUAAACGAUGAAUACUAGGUGUGCGGGGACUGACCCCCUGCGUGCCGCAGUAAACACAAUAAGUAUUCCACCUGGGGAGUACGAUCGCAAGGUUGAAACUCAAAGGAAUUGACGGGGGCCCGCACAAGCGGUGGAUUAUGUGGUUUAAUUCGAAGCAACGCGAAGAACCUUACCAGGGUUUGACAUCCUGCUAACGAAGUAGAGAUACAUUAGGUGCCCUUCGGGGAAAGCAGAGACAGGUGGUGCAUGGUUGUCGUCAGCUCGUGUCGUGAGAUGUUGGGUUAAGUCCCGCAACGAGCGCAACCCUUAAGCUUAGUUGCCAUCAUUAAGUUGGGCACUCUAAGUUGACUGCCGGUGACAAACCGGAGGAAGGUGGGGAUGACGUCAAAUCAUCAUGCCCCUUAUAUCCUGGGCUACACACGUAAUACAAUGGCGGUCAACGGAGGGAAGCAAAGCCGCGAGGCAGAGCAAACCCCCAAAAGCCGUCCCAGUUCGGAUUGUAGGCUGCAACUCGCCUGCAUGAAGCCGGAAUCGCUAGUAAUCGCGGAUCAGCACGCCGCGGUGAAUACGUUCCCGGGCCUUGUACACACCGCCCGUCACACCAUGAGAGUCGGGAACACCCGAAGUCCGUAGCCUAACCUGAAAAGGAGGGCGCGGCCGAAGGUGGGUUCGAUAAUUGGGGUG